GACGAACGCUGGCGGCGUGCUUAACACAUGCAAGUCGAACGGAAAGGCCCUGCUUGCAGGGUCCUCGAGUGGCGAACGGGUGAGUAACACGUGGGUGAUCUGCCCUGCACUUCGGGAUAAGCCUGGGCAACUGGGUCUAAUCCCGGAUAGGGGCCAUUACUAGUGUGAUGGUUGGAAAGUUUUUUCGGGUUAGGAUGAGCUCGCGGCCUAUCAGCUUAUUGGUGGGGUAAUGGCCUACCAAGGCGGCGACGGGUAGCCGGCCUGAGAGGGUGGACGGCCACAUUGGGACUGAGAUACGGCCCAGAAGCCUACGGGAGGCAGCAGUGGGGAAGAUUGCACUAUGGGCGCAAGCCUGAUGCAGCGACGCCGCGUGGGGGAUGACGGCCUUCGGGUUGGAAACUCCUUUCGCUAGGGACGAAGCUUUUUGUGACGGUACCUAGAUAAGAAGCACCGGCUAACUACGUG
rnacentral:rRNA from 1 species